UUUUAAUAAAAUCGUUGACAUUUUCCAUUUCCUGUUGUAUUAUAUAAAUAACAAUAUAGCUGUUAUCCCACUUAAACUGAACAAGUUCAAGACGGGAGUUCGACUCUCCCCAGCUCCACGAUUAUUUAUGCCCAUUCCACAUGGGGCUGUCAUGGUUUCGAUUGGGUUUUAUUAGGAAUAAGAGGCAGCUCGAGAGAUGACUGACGUAAUCAGCAUAAAAUUAAAGUAAUCGCAAAUGAUGAUACUUUCGCUGUAGCAAUCGCUGCUUAAUACCAGCCGCUACUGGGGUCAAACCGCCUUAUAAACCAAUGGUUGAAAAUACCUCCUUCAGGAGGUAUUUU
rnacentral:tmRNA from 1 species